GAUGAACGCUGGCGGCGUGCUUAACACAUGCAAGUCGAACGAUGAAGCCCAGCUUGCUGGGUGGAUUAGUGGCGAACGGGUGAGUAACACGUGAGUAACCUGCCCUUAACUCUGGGAUAAGCCUGGGAAACUGGGUCUAAUACCGGAUAGGAGCGUCCACCGCAUGGUGGGUGUUGGAAAGAUUUAUCGGUUUUGGAUGGACUCGCGGCCUAUCAGCUUGUUGGUGAGUUAUUGGCUCACCAAGGCGACGACGGGUAGCCGGCCUGGGAGGGUGACCGGCCACACGGGGACUGAGACACGGCCCAGACGCCAACGGGAGGCAGCAGUGGGGAAUAUUGCACAAUGGGGGCAAGCCUGAUGCAGCGACGCCGGGUGAGGGAUGACGGCCUUCUGGUUGUAAACCUCUUUCUGUAGGGAAGAAGCGAAAGUGACGGUACCUGCAGAAGAAGCACCGGCUAACUACGUG
rnacentral:rRNA from 1 species